UGUGCUGCGCAGUGGCAGUAUCGUAGCCAAUGAGGUCUAUCCGAGGCACGAUUAUUGCUAAUUGAAAACUAUUAAAAUUUACAUUAAAAAAGAGUUACACAAAUUGUCAUGUUUGAAGAGUCUAAGAGUUAGUAGAGGGAU